ACGAUCGCUGGCGGCAGGCUUAACACAUGCAAGUCGAACGCCCCGCAAGGGGAGUGGCAGACGGGUGAGUAACGCGUGGGAAUCUACCCAAUUCUUCGGAACAACUGAGGGAAACUUCAGCUAAUACCGGAUACGCCCUACGGGGGAAAGAUUUAUCGGAAUUGGAUGAGCCCGCGUUGGAUUAGCUAGUUGGUGAGGUAAUGGCUCACCAAGGCGACGAUCCAUAGCUGGUCUGAGAGGAUGAUCAGCCACACUGGGACUGAGACACGGCCCAGACUCCUACGGGAGGCAGCAGUGGGGAAUAUUGGACAAUGGGCGAAAGCCUGAUCCAGCCAUGCCGCGUGAGUGAUGAAGGCCUUAGGGUUGUAAAGCUCUUUCAGUAGGGACGAUAAUGACGGUACCUACAGAAGAAGCCCCGGCUAACUUCGU
rnacentral:rRNA from 1 species